ensembl:lncRNA
AAUUGUGUAUUGAAGUCUUUCGGCCUCCCCUUCUCUAGCUGCAGUUUAACUUCUCUGAGAGCAGGAAGUGUGUCCUGCUGGAGCUGUCUUUGAGUUCCAGUCUCACAUCUUUAAGGAUGGGGAGGGGGGUGAUUUUUGCCCGAGUGUCCCACUGCUGCCUCAAAGACCAUGUGCUGGACAUUCCUGCUUGCACCUCCCCCUUCGUGUCACUCUGGUGCCCAGUUCCCUUCCCAGUGAGAUGGACAAAAUGGUGCUCUGCAGGUCAUGGGCUUAGGCCAGUGAUCUUCACACGCUGAGUCACUCACCCUUGUGAGAUACAAAUCAUGGAUUCCAGGGUGCACCGGCUUCAGAAGUUGUGAUACCUGGGGUCAGUAGUUGUGGAUCCUGGACUCUAGAGCACAGGCUUGAUAACUGUGAGGCUUAGUUGCUCCGCGACAUGUGGGAUCUUCCUGGAUUGGGCAUCAAACCUGCAUCUCCUGCAUUGCCAGGCGGAUUCUUUACCACUGAGCCACCAGGGAAGCCUGACCUGCUUUCGUCUUAAAAGAAGUUCGUCAGGAACCCUCCCUCUGCAACCUGCUCCCACCCCUUUCCCAGCCAAAGACGUUCUUAGAAGGAAAAAUGAUAUAGUUCUGAAACUUUAGGUUUCAUAAAGAAAGGAAGAGCAUUAGAGAAGGAAUAAAUAAUAGUAAUAUGUCUUUUUUUAAAAUUUCAGUUGAUCCAACAGAUAGUAGUUUGCUCAAAAUACUAGUAGAACCAAGGUAUUUGGUGCUUGUAGGUCAUGCACAGUGAAAUGAAUGACAGUGAUGCUAUCAGAGAUGAGAGGGAGGGCUUGGGGAUACCCUGUUAUAAAGUGCUUGCGUUACCCAUGAGAUUGUAUAGUUGUAUCUGAAAAGGACUUGGAUGAAUAAAUGUAUAGGACAGCUGCUAAAAGAAUAAAUUAAAUAAAAAAGUGUAACUAAUAUCCUAAGAGAGUACAAAAAAUGGGAUUAUAUAAAAUGCUCAAUUAAAACAAAAAAAAAGAUUAAAAAAAUACGAGAAAAAAAAGAAACAAGAAGGGCAAUGAAUAGAAAAGAGUAACAACUAUGGCAGAUACUAAUUUGAUUAUAUCAAUAAUCACUUUAAAUGUCAAUGGUCUAAAUACACCAACUGAAAAAAACAGAUUGUGUGUCUGAGUGGAUUAAAAAAAACAAGCUCUUAUAUUUUGUUCAUAAGAAGCUCAUUUUAAACAUAGGCUGGAUAGAUUAAAAGUAAAGAUAGAUAGGUUAAAAGUAAAGAGAUGGAGAAAGACAUACCACGAUAACACCAAUCUAAAGAAAGCUGAGGUAGUAGUAUUAAUUUCAGACAAAGCAGAGCAAAGAAAUAUUAAUAUUAUUAACAUUAGUUUGUAUCAAUAAAUUAUUAAUU